UCAUGAAUUCCUGUUCCUCACUUCAAGAACUGAUCAAGUCACAAUGACUUUGUGUGAUUAGCUGACACCUACUGGCGCAUCAGAGAAUGUUAACCCACAGCUGCAUAUGACAGGAGCACUUUUAUAUUUUUAGUAUUAUAUUUGUGUGUUUGUGUUGUUGGAACCAUUACAGUGAACAAGGAAGAGAAUGGUGCACUAAAACCAAAAAACAAGUAGCAUGUGCUAGCUUAUAAAUCAGAAGAGGAUGGACAGACAUGUUUAAGUAUGCAUCAGCAGUUUAUAUUGUACCAAAGAGAGGAGGGAGAGCUGGGUGUGUAUGUUGUGUCAGGCAUUUGACUGUCACAUAUCAACAUUACUAGAGGUCAUUUCCAUGGUUUGCAACAGGCUACCAGUUUGAUAAAACUAUGAGAACAUGUUUAGUUCUGCUGUCAGAGGCUGAACAGGUAUCAUUUUUUUGAUGGAAGCUUACUUGUUUGCAUUUAAAUGGAUGAUUAAAUGGAUGCAUUGAGUAACUGUGAUUUAAUUGAUCUUCACUGACAAUUCAUUAUGUGUUAACUGAUCACAUAAGCACUAGUGACUUGAUCAUUUCUUUAUAGAAUGUAACAGAACAUCAUGCAUUCAUGCAUUCAUUAAUUCACCAUGAGCAUUGCAUGCAUUGCUGCACCUUUGUGAUAAAGUACUUGCAACUUUUCCAUUGUGGAGCUCACAUGUUUUUCAAGAGCCUCCAAACCGCUUAGCUGACCUCUAGCCAAAAAACAUCUUUCAUAAGAGCUUUAAUAAAAUAAUUUUGAUGUGUGUAGUAUGUUGUGUCCAAAAGCAGCAAUUUGCAUCGAUGUGACGUCUUUAUACUGCAAGUGUUGGCAGAUGCUGCGGCUCCGUGUUUGCAGCGUAGUUAUAGAUGUGAAUGGGGAGGUGUCAGAGAGGAAAAACAGCGCCACUUGGAGGCAGAAAUGAUACACUGCACCCCAUUCCAUUCUCAGUGCAGUUAUGCACAACACAAGAGCAGUUUGCUUUGAUUUUAAAGGCCAUCAUCAUGUACUUAUAUGGCCCUCCUCUUUGUCUUUUGGAAUUUGUUGUCAAAUCACGUUUUAAAUGCACCAACGUAACAGCGAGUUCCACUCCUGGCCUGUGCAACAGGGGCACGCGUUUACUUUUUAAAUCUUGACAGACUGAAAAAGACUGCUUAAAUCUACAGGUAAAUAUAUUCAUUUACAAUAUGGACACCUCAUUCUGCAAUCAUGUAUAUAUUGUAUUUCAGUGAGACAGUUAUUCUAACAACCGUAACAGUUGUGUUAGCGACAUAGCCUAUUCCGCUUUUUGUGCUUGUAGACAUAUCCCGAUUUUGAACCCCUCAGUGAUAUCCAACUUUUAUUGACAAUUUAUAGUUUCUGCAAACUGAUAUGAAUUAAUCUUUGCAUGUAAAUGUGCUCAUGGCUGUCAGGCUAGUGCUGAUAUGUGACAAUGUUCAUACUUUACUUGCAAAAAUGGCAGUGUGCGUUAACGUAUCAUUUAUGCUACUGUAUUAUUGCAGAAUUUAAAAAAAGUGUAUGACUGAAUAAUUAAUGAGCAAUUGUGGACAUUGAUAUUCAAAUUGUUCGUUUAGAUCCAGAAAAAAGGUCACAUAAAUGGAGGAGUGAGAAGCAGAGGGGCGUAUAGGUAACAUUUGGCCAAAGUGGCAUUCUACCAAUUUUGCAGGACCGAAAAAAAGAAGGCCAUACAUUGUCCAGACUUUGGAUGUUGAGUUGAACUCGUUUUCGCCCUAAAUAUUACACAAACCCCUUUGAUUCUCACCCCUACAAGUUUUACUUUUUUUUAUUAGAAUGAAGAGAUCGCUUGGAGGCGAGGCCGCAUGCGCUUUAAACCCGGGGACGGAACACAUCAGACAGUUUGUUCUCAUAAUCUUGAGUGAAAGUAGAAUACAAAACCCAUAAUUGGCUCGGAUCUUAAUAAGUGAAAGUUUGUAAAACGCGAUGCAGACAGUCUUUAAUAUGUGUGUGCAGCGCGCGGUGCACUUCUGUUGCUGGAUCGUGCAGGGAAACACUCACAAAUGCGCUGUAGUUUUUCGUCACUAGUACCAGACAUUUGAGGGAAAACGUCUUAUGUUUAAUUUUAGCAGCUCUGAAUCAUGUUCUUGUGUUUCCAUGAGAUUAAAACAAACCCCUGCUGCUGCACCAGCCCUCCUUUUGUGAAGGGCAACGACUUGACUUCUCCUGUGAUUACAACCUCAACUUUUACCCAUGCAUUCCUCGGGAACAUUAGAAUACUUCAUAGAGCAUCCGCUAUCUUGGAUCGAUGUACAGGCCUAAUCGGAGGGGAAAUUCCACAGCGGGCUGCUGCAUUGAAGUGAACUGUAAUUGGAUGCAGCUUGGGAGUCGGGCCGCCUCGGCCUCCUGCCCGCGUUCAGGCUCUGAAACAAGCGUGGUUCUCAUUUAAAGCGGCGGUGAAAUAUGGACAGAGUGACUUUUAAUGGCGCCUGUAGUCGAUUUCCCGUUAUAAAGUAAAAAGAAAGGAGGAAAGAGAGAAAGAAAGAAAGCAGCUGUCAGAGCUCGGGGCGUGGUCUGCCCGUGAACCUCAGACUGCCAUUGGCCGCCUAACAGGAAGCGUUUCCAGACACAGUCUGUCUCAACCCCCAUAAUCCCAAACUAUGGCCCCCUCCUCCUGGAACAUGUUUCCUUAGCAAUGUCAGAGCGUAAUACACACAUAGUGAAGGUGCAUCUCCAUUUAUUCCUUCAACCUCCGCAUCCUCCUUGCAACCACAAAACGCAUGGUACUCGAAUCACGUGCCGCCGCUCAAAAAUAAUGUCAUCUCAGAGUAGGUGUGCGCCUGAGGAUGCGCCAGGAGCAGCAGCAGCAGCAACAGAGCGAGCUAUAACCCCCGAUGUCACCUCAGUGUCAGUCGUCGCCAGGUGGGCACGAGAUGCAGCUAGAGCCUCCAACAAGGCAUCAGCACCGGAUGGAGCAAGGCGCACUAAAAAUCGUCCCCGGUUCCAGACGAGCGUAAUACACGUGCUCUCAGCAUUCCAAAAAAACAUCCUCCUCUUUCUCCCCUCACGUCAUUCAGGGACCGAGCCGUCAGCUCAGGUCCAGACUGCCGCCUGCAACCGGACAUGUGCCCGGUUCCAGCAUCCUGGCCGCCGAGCCAACGCCUCAUCAUCACCACGGUCUUCAUGGAGCUUCUCCCUGGUGCGAGCUCGGUUUUGUGACUGGCAUCGUUUCACCGUCACAGCUGCGGCAAACCUCUGUUUAAAGUCCACUAGGGCGGCUUUGAACUCCAUCACAACCGCAUCACAGAUGAUCUCCAUGGAAGUUCUGUCUCACGACCAGCGACCCGUUAUCCUCGGGCUUAGUGGAUGAUGGCAGCCGGUUUAUCAUCAACACUGAAGAAGAGGCAGGAUAAAGAAGAGGUCCUGCUGAUGCUCCAUGACAGGCGGCAAGAGGAAAUAACGGCAAGGAUUAACAGUUCCAGUCCAAAAACAGUCGCAGGGACUGCUGCUGCGGCGGCGGAGGAGGAGCGGGCAUCACCGGGACCAAAACAAGAUGAGACCAGUCCGAGGCGCCCGGUCCCGGCUGCUCACUACACGGCCGUCGAGCCUCUAUGUCGGCCAGAGCCGACAGGAAGACUCGCUGUUCUUACUCCAAGCCGCAGAACCUGGAGCUUGUGUUCCUCCUCAGCAUGUUGGCUAUCUGACCCGACAGCGCCGCCCUGAGAUCAGAGGGAGCGUCAACCUGAAGAGUCUGGAUCAAGAACCGGAGGAUGAAGAAAAAAGAUCGGACAAUAUGAAGCUGGUACACAGAGAGCAGGCUGUGAGUUGCUGCCCUUUGUAGCUGCAGUAUGAUAACCCUUCACUCGCUGGACCGUACACACACACACACACACACACACACACACACACACACACACACACAUGCAGAAUUGCAGCGCCGGCACGAGAUCAGUUGAUCAAAGACCAGUGUAAAAAUAUAAUACGUCAUUUGCCACCUGAGCAUAUUAUUUCCAGCUUGUGUUAUAUUUUGAGGACAAAGUGGAGUGAGGACAGUUUAACGGGACAUUAUGAUGAUGAGAUCCUGACUGAAAAUUCCAGAUGGAAAGAUGCUCAGUUUGGUUCCUGUGUGGUGGCUGGUGGAUUAUUUUCUUUUUAUUAUGAGGAUUUUAAAAGAAAGAAAGAAAGAAAGAAAGAAAGAAACAAAGAAACAAAGAAAGAAAGAAAGAAAACAACACAAAUGAAAAAAACAAAACUAAAGUAAUAUAUCCUAUGUAUGAAUCCAAAUUUAAUCUGGACUCACACAUUGAUCCGAGUUGUGUCCACUCGGAAUGAAGUCUCCGCAGAAGAACCGCACACAGACUUAGAGGAAGAGGAAAGUAAAGGCUCGCUAUACUGAGACAUUGUCUCGUUUUCAUUUUCUUGUGUCAGUCGCAUCUAUCCACCCGUUUUUUCCAAAUAUAGACCCGAAGCGCUUCAUACUUAAUCCAGUUAGAUUUUAUGUUCGUUUCCCAUCCAGGCAACUUGGACACAGUCUGCCUGUCUUCGUCUAAUGGGAUCCUGGUCUACGAAACAUCCCCUGACAUGAUUCCUAAAUGUAAUACUUCUAUCUACCAGCUGACCUCGACCAUCUCUGUUCACUCAGAGUUCAUUGUGUAUCACCAUAUCGCUGCUUCAGAUGAUCACACAGCAACUCAAGAGGUUUUCUAAACUUCUUUUCACACCAGGGUCACGCAGUUGGAUAUUCAUUAAGCCAAGCAGGAACCUGGUGCUGAAGGGAUUUUACUUGUUAGAUAUGAUUUACUGCAGCAGUCUGACCUCCUGCUGCUGGAUUCAGUCACAUGCACUCUAAUCAUUUGAUUAUAACCAGAGGAAGGCAGUGCUGCAAGUCUGAGUUAUUGGACUUGCGUGACGAUUCAACUGUAAUUGAAUUAACAUGGAUUUGCAUUUUUCGAUCUUUCAGAUGACUCUUGGCAUAUAUAAAACAUAGUCUGGUUUCUUUACGUGUUUUGAUUCUGUGCCACAAAUGGGAAAGAGAUGCAAAGCAGGAGGUAAAAUACAGACCAGCGUGGCUAGCUGUGGAAAAUUAUGUCGUGUAACAGUGAAACUGAUAAAAGAAUGUGAUACUACAGUAGAGUUUGUGUUAAUGUGUUCUGUGAAGACAUAAACACCACAAACAAUAAAAAGCAACAAAAUUCCUUCAUUUCUCUGCCAUGUUCUUUUAUUCUACAGCCUGAAGACUGCACAUGCUUACAAAUAUUUAAGCUGUGACCUGUUGCAUUAAUAAAAAAAACAAACAAAAAAAAAAAACAACAACUAUUUGUCAUAUUUACUGAAACUGUCACUAUUCUUCCACACUAA